GUGUGCUAAGCGGGGAGUUAGCGGUGCCCUGUACUCGCAAUCCGCUAUAGCGAGGUCGAAUGCCUGUGGAAGAAUAUCGAUUUUCACUUAAAGGUAGAAAAGUGGUGUUGAUAAUCAAGCCCGGCGCAAUUGCAAACUGUGAACCGUGUCAGGUCCGGAAGGAAGCAGCACUAAGCAGAGCUUGGAAUGUGCCGCCGGUACACUUGGUUUGAGCUAACUAUCUAUUCUUUUCUUGAAAUAGAUAUCGACCACGGGCUGCACAC
rnacentral:SRP_RNA from 1 species